AGAUUGAACGCUGGCGGCAUGCCUAACACAUGCAAGUCGAACGGGAGUAGCAAUACUCUAGUGGCGGACGGGUGAGGAAUACGUAGGAAUUUGCCCUUAAGUGGGGGAUAACCCGGGGAAACCCGGAUUAAUACCGCAUGACCUCGAAAGAGCAAAGUGGGGGAUCGCAAGACCUCACGCUUUUGGAGAAGCCUACGUCGGAUUAGCUAGUUGGUGAGGUAAUGGCUCACCAAGGCGACGAUCCGUAACUGGUCUGAGAGGAUGAUCAGUCACACCGGAACUGAGACACGGUCCGGACUCCUACGGGAGGCAGCAGUGGGGAAUAUUGGACAAUGGGCGCAAGCCUGAUGCAGCAACGCCGCGUGAGGGACGAAGGCCUUCGGGUUGUAAACCU
rnacentral:rRNA from 1 species